CCCCUCUCAGGAUCGCAUCUGGAGAGCUUCUGGUACUCUACCACACUUGGCUACGGGAGGGAGAGGCAAGCAGAGGCCUACCCAUUCCAUUCCUAGCUUGGCCAGUGGCUGAGCCAGUGGAAGGCAAUCUGCUACAAGU